rnacentral:rRNA from 1 species
AGUGAACGCUGGCGGUAGGCCUAACACAUGCAAGUCGAACGGCAGCACAGUAAGAGCUUGCUCUUACGGGUGGCGAGUGGCGGACGGGUGCGGAAUACAUCGGAAUCUACUUUUUCGUGGGGGAUAACGUAGGGAAACUUACGCUAAUACCGCAUACGACCUACGGGUGAAAGCAUGGGAUCUUCGGACCUUGCGCGAUUCAAUGAGCCGAUGUCGGAUUAGCUAGUUGGCGGGGUAAAGGCCCACCAAGGCGACGAUCCGUAGCUGGUCUGAGAGGAUGAUCAGCCACACUGGAACUGAGACACGGUCCAGACUCCUACGGGAGGCAGCAGUGGGGAAUAUUGGACAAUGGGCGAAAGCCUGAUCCAGCCAUGCCGCGUGGGUGAAGAAGGCCUUCGGGUUGUAAAGCCCUUUUGUUGGGAAAGAAAAGCAGCAGGUUAAUACCCCGCUGUUCUGACGGUACCCAAAGAAUAAGCACCGGCUAACUUCGUG